AAAAAGGGCUUCUGUCGUGAGCGGCACAUGCAGGGCAACUCGAUUGUUCUGCGUGCCGAAUCGACAUCAAGAGAUUUCUGAAGCAUAAUUUUUUGGUAUUUGGGCAGCACAAAACUCAAGCUCCU
ensembl:snRNA Gm25785 predicted gene, 25785